GAUGAACGCUAGCUACAGGCUUAACACAUGCAAGUCGAGGGGCAGCGGGAUUGAAGCUUGCUUCAAUUGCCGGCGACCGGCGCACGGGUGAGUAGCGCGUAUCCAACCUUCCGUACACUCAGGGAUAGCCUUUCGAAAGAAAGAUUAAUACCUGAUGGUAUGAUGAGAUUGCAUGAUAGCAUCAUUAAAGAUUUAUCGGUGUACGAUGGGGAUGCGUUCCAUUAGGUAGUAGGCGGGGUAACGGCCCACCUAGCCAACGAUGGAUAGGGGUUCUGAGAGGAAGGUCCCCCACAUUGGAACUGAGACACGGUCCAAACUCCUACGGGAGGCAGCAGUGAGGAAUAUUGGUCAAUGGGCGAGAGCCUGAACCAGCCAAGUAGCGUGAAGGAUGAAGGUCCUACGGAUUGUAAACUUCUUUUAUAAGGGAAUAAAACCUCCCACGUGUGGGAGCUUGUAUGUACCUUAUGAAUAGCAUCGGCUAACUCCGUGCCAGCAG
rnacentral:rRNA from 1 species